rnacentral:lncRNA from 1 species
UUAAAACUCUUUUUUAUUUAGAGCUCUUAUAAUUUGAAUCCUAUAAAUAUAAACCCAUAAUCAACCAAAAAAAAAAACACGAUUUGGCAGAAAAUAUAUGCAGCAAAAAAAGAGAAAGAGAGAAAGUACGCGCACAAGACCCCUUUUUUUUAGAAAAAAUUUCUGGUAGAAAAUAAAUUUUUAGGGAUUCAGAAUUGAGGAAAUUAGAAUUGGUGUGGCUAGAAAUUUUUAGAAGAUUGAGAAAGAGAUUUGGAAAAAAAUUGAUAAAUUUAGUUUUUUUGUUUUUUCGUUUCUGGGUUUCUUGAACUUUCUGAUGACCAAGUUUGAGUUUUCCACCAACAUUUGGCUAGAAUCCACAUUUUUUCAUCAUAAUCUAGGUUUUGUCGGGGUUUUCGGCUGGUGUUCAGAGAAUUUUAAAGCUAGAGAGAGAGAUAGAGUAAAGAAAGGAAAGAGAGAGUGUGGGUAGGAAAAACAUGAGAAAAAGAAGAAAAUUGGGCUUUAUUGUUUAAGAAAACGACGUCAUUUUGAUCAUUUAAAAAUCCUUGAAGAUCCGCACAUCAACCCUCGAGAGCCAUGCACCAACCCGACCCGCAACGCACGACUCGCUUACAUCUCUUAGCUUCAGCUGAGCCGAGUCUGAGCUUUGAACCGUGAAUCGUAAGCCGUGUUGUUCUUUUUUGCCUUGAGCCGUUAUUCUUCAGCUGCCUAAGCCAAGCUAUUUUCUUGGUACUUUUUUUGUUUUUCUCAUUUAUUUUAUUUUAUUUAUGUUUAAUUAAUUAUUUAUUUGAUUAGUUGUUUUCGAUCUAUUUUUUAUUAUUUUAUUUAUUGGUUCUUUAUUUAUUUGUUAUUCAUUUAUCUAUAAAUAUAUUUUUUAAAAAAAAUUUAAAUAAAAUAAAAAGAAUCUCACCUUAUUUAUUGGUUUUUUAUUUAUUUGUUAUUCAUUUAUCUAUAAAUAUUUUUUUUAAAAAAAUUUUUAAAUAAAAUAAAAAGAAUCUUAUCAACACAUUGGAGGAUUCAAAUUGUUAAAAAAAUAUUUUUUUCAAAUAACAAUGAAUCUUAUCAACAUAUUGAAAGAUUUAAAUUUUUAAUAAAUUUUUAAUAAAUUUUUAAUAAAUUAUUUUAAUAAAAUAAAAAGCCUUAUCAAUAUAUUGGAAGCCAAUUUAAUUUUUAAAAUAAGAUUUUACCAACAUAUUGGAGAAUCUUAUUAAUUUUUUUAUAAAAAAUAAAUUUCAAGAAAAAAAUAGUUUUUAAUAAAGCCUUACCAACAUAUUGAAAAUUUUUAUGAUUUUUAAAUAAAAAUUAAUUUUUAGAAAAGAAAUAAUUUCUAUAAAAUCUUAUUAACAUAUUAGAGGAUAAUUUCUAGCAGAAAAUCUUACCAAUAUAUUGAAGAAUAUUUUCUGAAAAUAAAAAGCAUUUUUACAAAGUUAGAUUUUGAAUUUUUUAUGAUGUAAUAACAAUCUCUAUGUAAAUUUUUAUGUGAGAAAUUUUUUUAAAAUUUUACUAACAUAUUAGAAAAUUUAAAAAAGAUUUUCAAUAUCAAGGUUAUCACAAAAAUGUCAAUUAUCACAAGUAAAAGUUUUUUACAAAAAUUAAAUGAAUUUGACGAUGAAAUCUCUUCAAAACAUAACAAAUCAUUUUCUUAAAUACUUAUGAGGUGAGGGGAUGUUUUUGAAUUAUUACCAAUAUAUUAGAGUAAUUUAUGAAUAAUUUCCAAUAUUGAAUUACUUGAAAGUUUUUUUAGGCUUUCCGAUAACAUAAAAUCAAGCUAGUACCAUCCUAUAGGUGGGCGAUGUGAAAAUAUUAUAAUCUUUUUUACACAUAACCGUACUCUCGAACUUAAUUUUGGUUUUGUAAACAUAAAUCUAAUAAGUAGUCAAUCACAUCUAAAUAAAAAACAUAAGUGAUGAUUUCUCUCGUUAAGUCUAGUUAUAGGUCUAUAAAUUUAUACGUUAUGACAAAAACAUAUUUUUAAUACCAUCCUACUUCCAUGCUAUCAAAAGAAGAUGCUUAGGCCUCGUUUAAUAUUAGUGAUGAUUUCUCUCGUUAAGUCUAGUUAUAGGUCUAUAAAUUUAUACGUUAUGACAAAAACAUAUUUUUAAUACCAACUUACUUCCAUGCUAUCGAAAGAAGACGCUUAGGCCUCGUUUAGUAUUGCUUUUGGGAUUUCAAAACGCAGUUUUUAAUGCAAAAACAAAGUUAAACACGAUAUAAUUUGAGUUAAAAACACAUUUUCAAUCGUUAAAAGUGUGUCAAUCGUAAAAGGUAAUUGGGAGAUAUAGUUGUAAUUUGAAAUUUAUAGUUUAGAAACAAAAUGAUUAAAUACCCACUCAAGUAUUUAUUUUUAACAAAAUAGCAAUUUUUUUUCUUUCCGACAUUAUGUCCUUUUUAGAUAUUUUAAUUUUGCACAACAAUACUAAUCACUCAAAAAUCCUAAACUAUAAAUUUUCAUAGCACCUUUCAAAUGCAUUUUUUUCCUAACCAAGUUUUUUCAAAUCACAUUAGCAAUAUUAAACUAAGCCUUAAGCGGUUAAUCAAAGCUACAGACUUUAUUUAAAGAUCUUGGGUCCAAAAUUUGGGAUAAACGGGAUGAGAUUUAUGAGAAGAUAAGGUAUUAUAUCUUUUAUUAUGUAGUGGGGAAUCAAAUUUACUCUAAAAAUUCAUAUUUUUAUGUUUCACCUUUCUAAAUUACUAAUGGUUAAAUUUUAAAAUUUUUUCUUCAACAUCUUAAGUUCAAAUCAUACAAUAAAAUUUAUGAAAUGAAAAAAAAUUAUCUCCUUUUAUAUAAGGUAAAGUCAAAUAAGCUUUUAUUGUAAAAAAUCCCAAGUCAAGAAAAAAUUCUUUCAAAUUGAGGGAAUUUAAUUUAUUAAGAUAAUUAUUAUAAAAAAUUUGUAAGUGACUGCAUGUGAAGCAUAGAGAAUAAAUGAAUAAUUAGAGUAGCAUUUAUAAUACAAUAAAAACAAAAAAAGAUUAAAACAAUAAUAAAAUGUAAUUGUAUAAAUCAAUAAUUUGCAUUUUUUUUAUCUAAAAUUAUGAAAAAUCUUCAAAAAAUCACUUCCUUUCUUUUAUGAUCUUGAGAUAAAUCAUUAGUCAUUUUUUGGAUGGAAAAAUGAUUAAUCAAAUAAUGUAAUAACUCAUAACUAAACCAUUUUAGGCCUUUAAUUUUAUAUUAAAGAGUCACUUUCUUUAGUUGACUGUUCUGCAUUAAUUAAAUUAAGCUAUCAUUUUCAUGUAUUUUAUAUUAAUUUGUUAAACCUAACAUAAAUAAAUUUGAUAACAAUGACUUACAGAAAAUAUAUGGAACAAAACCUAAUAAUCUCAUACUUCUAAAACAUAUAUCAUCACUGUUGGGCUGAAAGCCUCCAAUCCAAUCACACCAGCGGAAGUAAAAUCAAACAAUAAAUCAAACACACAAGAGACAACAAUUUAACGUGGUUCGGUCCAACUGAUCUACAUCCACGGAUGAGAAACAAGAUCCACUAGUUGUAGAGAAUUACAAACAUACAUCAAAUCAUCAAACUCACUCAACAAUCAAUACUCAUAAGACACUCUCAAUCUCCUCUAGUCCUAUGGAGUAUUCUCAACCUAAACAAACACAAACCCAAACUCUUGUGCACCCUUUCAACACAACCAAACACAUACCCAUAUGUUCCCAUACAUCAUAUCUAUGUGGACCCUCUCAAUCUCCUCUAGUCCACUCACAAACAAACAUACACACCCAUAAGACGUAGAGCCCCAAUACUCCUAUGGGGUGUCUAUCCCACAAAACCCUACAACUCUUUUACAUCUUUUUCUCAUACCUAACCCUGUAGAGACUUCACCUAUUUAUAACCAUACAAACUUGCCCAUUAAGAAUCUCUCUCCUCUUAAAAUUCUUCUCUUGUAAGUCAAACUUGCCUAUUAAGAAUCUUUUUCCUUUUAGAAUUCUUCUCUUGCAAGUCAAACUUACCUAUUAAGAAUCUUCUUUCUUUUAGAAUUCUUCUUUUGCAAGUCUUCUUGUCCAUUAAGCAAUAUCUGACAAAUCUCAAACAAAUCCCAAACAAAUCUCUUAUGGGAUUUGAGUCAAUAUUCCCAACAAUCUCCAUCUUGACUCAAAUUCCAUUAAUCAUCUAUCUUCAUGCUAGACAUACUUGGCUCCACCUGCAAUAAAAGUCUCACAAUCAUCUUCUCUUGUGUCUUCACGCUUCAUACAAACCAAUCCUCAAUCUUUAAAACUCGAACUCUUCUCUUGAAUUGAGCUCCUCUAAGCUUAUUUCUUCCUAUGUCUUAAACCAAGCUCUUCCCAUAUCUCGAACUGUCAACUAUUCUCAUGUCUCGAACCAUCGGUUCUUUUCACAUCUUGAAUCUUUAACUCUUCUCACAUUUCGAACCUUCAACUCUGAUACCACUUGUUGGGGAUCACCACAGCUCUGAUACUAUUUAUUGGGCUAAAAGCCUCCAAUCCAAUCACACCAGCGAAAGCAAAAUCAAACAAUAAAUCAAACACACAAGAGAUAACAAUUUAACGUGGUUCGGUCCAACUGACCUACAUCCACGGAUGAGAAACAAGAUCCACUAGUUGUAGAGAAUUACAAACAUACAUCAAAUCAUCAACCUCACUCAACAAUCAAUACUCAUAAGACACUCUCAAUCUCCUCUAGUCCUAUGGAGUAUUCUCAACCCAAACAAACACAAACCCAAACUCUUGUGCACCCUUUCAACACAACCAAACACAUACUCAUAUGUUCCCAUACAUCAUACCUAUGUGGACCCUCUCAAUCUCCUCUAGUCCACUCACAAACAAAUAUACACACCCAUAAGGCGUAGAGCCCCAAUACUCCUAUGGGGUGUCUAUCCCAUAAAACCCUACAACUCUCUUACAUCUUUUUCUCAUACCUAACCCUGUAGAGACUUCACCUAUUUAUAACCAUACAAACUUACCCAUUAAGAAUCCCUUUCCUCUUAGAAUUCUUCUCCUGUAAGUCAAACUUGCCUAUUAAGAAUCUUUUUCCUUUUAGAAUUCUUCUCUUACAAGUCAAACUUACCUAUUAAGAAUCCGUUUUCUUUUAGAAUUCUUCUUUUGCAAGUCUUCUUGUCCAUUAAGCAACAUCUGACAAAUCUCAAACAAAUUCUAAACAAAUCUCUCAUGGGAUUUGAGUCAAUAUUCCCAACAAUCACAUGAUAGCUUGUCCUUGAUAUUUUUCAUGAUUUUUUUCUUUAAGACUUCUAUAAUUUGAAAAUGCUCAUUUUUUUAUACGAAGAAAUAUGAGUAGGAUAACAUCUGACUGUAGAUCAUGGUGGUGUCUUUUGUUGGUGUAGUUGAUUCUAUCAUUGACUAAUCAUUAUUUGUUAUCUAUCUUUGAAUCCCUAACUAUAAUUUUUCGUACUUUCUAUGUUUAGUUUCUUAUAUUUUAUCUCAAAACUUAAGUGCGGUAGGCUUUUCAUAGUUAGUUAUAUUUUGGAUUCUUGUUUUGUGUAUCUUGAUUGCUCUUGGUUAUCCGUGAGAUUCGGUAACAUUUUUUUUUUUUUUAUUUAUAUUUAGGUGAUCUUUGAUAUUCAAAUAGGUUUGUAUUGGAACUUGGGAUUUUAUCAUUGUUAAUCUUGAUUAGCUUUGUAACUUUAUGAUUGCUUUAAUAAAAUUUAACUUAAGAAAAAAAAAAAAAAAAAGAGUAGCAAUAGUAAUUGCUCCAUUUUCAUUAUCCACUUUUCAUUUAAUAUAAAGAUUAAAAAAAA